rnacentral:rRNA from 1 species
AUUGAACGCUGUCGGCAGGCCUAACACAUGCAAGUCGAACGAGUGGCGGACGGGUGAGUAAUUUCUGGGAAACUGCCUGAUGGAGGGGUAUCACUACUGGAAACGGUAGCUAAUACCGCAUACUAUCAGAUGUGCCCAGAUGGGAUUAGCUUGUUGGUGGGGUAACGGCUCACCAAGGCGACGAUCCCUAGCUGGUCUGAGAGGAUGACGGGCCAAACUGGAACUGAGACACGGUCCAGACUCCUACGGGAAGGAGCAGUGGGGAAUAGCGCACAAUGGGGGCAAGCCUGAUGCAGCCAUGCCGCGUGUAUGAAGAAGGCCUUCGGGUUGUAAGGUACGUUCAGCGGGGAGGCGUUACCCGCAGAAGAAGCACCGGCUAACUACGUGCCAGCAGCCGCGGUAAUUC